UUUAGAGGCAUUUCAUUUAGACAACUAAAAACAAUUAAAUGUUCAGAAGCAGUGUACAAUGAAAGAGAAAUCAAACCAGUUACUUUAUCAUGUAUUCCCUCUUUUUUACAACUAAAGCAAACAAACAAAGGCAUUCUGCUUUAAGGAAAAAAGUCAGAAAAAUAAGCCAAUAUAUUUUUCUUCUCCAUAAUAACAUAAACAGCUACAAGAACCCUAACUGUAAUAAGAGAAAUUGGAUGUUGGCUUGUAUAUAUUCAUUAAAAAGAUAACAGGCCACUGUACUACAAGAGGAUAACUCUACCUCUCUUCAUCUGAUACUCUUGAGUUUUCACUUACAGGUAACACCAAGUUAGUUGUUCCAGCACUGGAGCUAAUUCAUUUUCCCCAUUAUUUACUGCUCUUUCUGCCUUAAGCAGAGACCAAUCUUUGGCUUUGCCAGCUCACCACUCUCUUCUUCAGGAAGCACACAUUUCCAAAGGCCGUAUGUUUUUCCUACCACAGUUUGCCCUAGUCUCAAUGUUCCAUCUUCAGAACCACUGGCAUAGAGUUCUCCAUCACGACUAAAUCUCACACAGUGAAUAGGACCAAAGUAUCCCUUGUAGGAUUCGAAUUCUUCUCCAUGGUUAAAAUACUUAUAAAGUUUAAAAUCUUCACCACCUGCAACAAGAAAUUCUUUCUCAGGAUGAAGAGAUGCAGAAUUGAUGGUUGCAGGAGCUUCAAAGGAUGUAAUUGGGUCCAAACUUACUGCACUAUGAAAAGCAAUAGAUAGUCCAUAAGUUAUAACCAAAAUCUCUCCCUCAGGAAUGUAUUUUGUACUACUAACAGACAUAUUAAAAUUUAGAGAUUUCACUUCUGUCAUAGUAGCAUGAUCCCAAAGUCGAGCAGUUUUGUCAUCAGCAGAAAGAAUCUGUUUAUCCUCACUGCACCAUAGGAGCCUUUUUUUUAUACCAGAAGUGUGACCACUAAUUUCCUUAGGUCUUGCUUUGGGUUUGUUCAAGUCAUACAUGCGUAACAGUUUAUCCUGUCCCUUGGUUAACAAAUAAUUACUAUCCUGCAUGAAAUACACAGUCUUGACAAUGUAUUUAUGAGCCAAGGUCAUCAAUUCAUCUCCUAAGACAGCAUCCCACACUUUGGCUGUGAAAUCUGCAGCUGCUGUUGCUGCUUUGGUGGCAUUCAGUGUUGCACCCCAAACAGCACCUUUAUGACCCCAAAAUGUUCCAAUCCAGUCUCCUGUAUCUCCCUGGCGUAGCAUAGGUUUACCAUCUUUGUAAGCGCUGGUUAAGAAAUACCCAUAAGUCGUGAUGCCACUGAAGGCCAAAUCAACCAUGGGCCACGUGUGGCCAAAGUAGGUGAGCAGCGUCUGUCUCAUUGCCAUGGUGGCAGUGAACCCAGCGACCAGACUGGCGAGCUGAGUGUUGUCGUUCUCUUUUCUCUCUUCUGCUGCAGCACCUUGGGCUCCUCCAGGCCCCCGCCCUGACACUAGGGCUGGGCUGCAAAACAGGAAAAGGAGGACAAUCUGGUGGCACUGAGGUUAGGAAGGGGUGACGGAGGGGUCAGGGAGUCUGACAUGGGCAAGUAACAGUCGACCAGGGAGGGAAA
rnacentral:lncRNA from 1 species